rnacentral:lncRNA from 1 species
UUAGCUAGUAUGGUCAAGUGGGGAUGCCCACUUUAUGUCUUGUAAAAGUCAGAGUCAGUCUGAGUGCUUCCUUUAUCACUACUUUCUAAAAAGAAAGAAAAACUGUUGAAGCACGCGUCAAAAUAAGUGUGAAAGAAAAUUAAUAACGCAUGUGACGAUGGGGCCCAAAGCGUACCCGACUUGCAUUAUUAAAGUUUUCUUUCUUAUCCCUUAUCUAAAAGUGUCGGCCAAUUAUGUUGCGGCCACGUAGUAGCUUUAGAACCACUCCUUUAUGUACAUUUUUCCUAUAAAAGGAGUACAUCUUGUAGUAGAAAGGCAGAGAGAGAAAAAUCAACCAACCUAAAAACUCGCCUGAAAUGUUUAAACCUUUCCUCCCAAAAAACUUGUCUAACCCAGUCGUUCUUGUAUAAACUUUGUAACAUCGUGGUUUAAAUAAAAGCUUCAAGUUUUCUAUUCGAUCUUUAGGGGGUUCCCGAAAGGGAAACCUCUCUCCUAGUUACUUCAUGUAAGUUCUUAUUUCCAUAUUUUCCCCACAAAAAUAUUUAUAUUCAUGUUCUUAUAUAUGUUUUAAAUAGUNNNNN